UACGUAGGGUGCAAGCGUUAAUCGGAAUUACUGGGCGUAAAGCGUGCGCAGGCGGUUUUGUAAGUCUGACGUGAAAUCCUCGGGCUCAACCUGGGAAUUGCGUUGGAGACUGCAAGGCUAGAAUCUGGCAGAGGGGGGGUAGAAUUCCACGUGUAGCAGUGAAAAUGCGUAGAGAUGUGGAGGAACACCGAUGGCGAAGGCAGCCCCCUGGGUCAAGAUUGACGC
rnacentral:rRNA from 1 species